rnacentral:lncRNA from 1 species
UCUAUGGAAAUUUGAUGACAGAAAAUCAGAUACCUUAGUACAAUUACUCAGCUGUACAAGUGGGUAGCCCAGAAUGACUUUCUCCUAGGUCAUCUAACAACCAAAGCUUUUAUACCUCAUGGUGGAGGCAAUGACAUCUAUGAGAGGAUCUACCAUGGGAUCCCUAUGGUGGGCCUUCCUUUGUUUGUAGAUCAACCCGAUAAGUUGGUUCACAUGAAGGCUAAGGGGGAAGCUGUUACAGUAGACUCAAAAACGAUGUCAUCUACAAAUUUGCUCAAUGCAUAAAAAGCAGUCAUUAAUAAAGAGAAUGUUAUAUGGUUAUGAAUCAUUCAUUAUGAUCAGCUUAUGAAGCCCAUGGACCAAACAGUCUUCUGGAUCAAGUUUGUCAUGCGCCACAGAGGAGCCAAGUACUUGCUGCCGCCUGCGAACAACCUCACCUGGCUCCAGUACUGCUCUCUGGUUGUGCUG